ACAUGAUGAUUACCUAGAUGACGAGUCUUAUCCGCGUUAGCGAUGCAGACAACCUAUUUUUUAAUACCAUUCAUGCAUAUCUGAUC
rnacentral:snoRNA from 1 species